UGAACGCUGGCGGCGUGCCUACUACAUGCAAGUCGAGCGAACAGACGAGGAGCUUGCUCCUCUGACGUUAGCGGCGGACGGGUGAGUAACACGUGGAUAACCUACCUAUAAGACUGGGAUAACUUCGGGAAACCGGAGCUAAUACCGGAUAAUAUAUUGAACCGCAUGGUUCAAUAGUGAAAGACGGUUUUGCUGUCACUUAUAGAUGGAUCCGCGCCGCAUUAGCUAGUUGGUAAGGUAACGGCUUACCAAGGCAACGAUGCGUAGCCGACCUGAGAGGGUGAUCGGCCACACUGGAACUGAGACACGGUCCAGACUCCUACGGGAGGCAGCAGUAGGGAAUCUUCCGCAAUGGACGAAAGCCUGACGGAGCAACGCCGCGUGAGUGAUGAAGGUCUUCGGAUCGUAAAACUCUGUUAUUAGGGAAGAACAAAUGUGUAAGUAACUAUGCACGUCUUGACGGUACCUAAUCAGACAGCCACGGCUAACUACGUG
rnacentral:rRNA from 1 species